rnacentral:rRNA from 1 species
UGGGGAAUUUUGGACAAUGGACGCAAGUCUGAUCCAGCCAUGCCGCGUGCGGGAAGAAGGCCUUCGGGUUGUAAACCGCUUUUGUCAGGGAAGAAACGAGUUUCUCUAAUACAGAGACUUAAUGACGGUACCUGAAGAAUAAGCACCGGCUAACUACGUGCCAGCAGCCGCGGUAAUACGUAGGGUGCAAGCGUUAAUCGGAAUUACUGGGCGUAAAGCGUGCGCAGGCGGUUAUAUAAGACAGAUGUGAAAUCCCCGGGCUCAACCUGGGAACUGCCUUUGUGACUGCAUGGCUAGAGUGCGGCAGAGGGGGAUGGAAUUCCGCGUGUAGCAGUGAAAUGCGUAGAUAUGCAGAGGAACACCGAUGGCGAAGGCAAUCCCCUGGGCCUGCACUGACGCUCAUGCACGAAAGCGUGGGGAGCAAACA